CUUAUUUGUUAUAAUUUAUUAAUAAUUAAAAUACAUAUUUAUCUAAAAUUAGUUUGUUCACUAUUGUUCAUUUCAAAGUAACAGAAGUCCCAUAUCAAGUUAUGUGAACUUGAUGAAUUUGAUGAAUCAAAAUGCAUGGGCCCUUCUAAGCCAUUCACUAAAUGGCCAUUUUCAUUGUGGGGCCGUGGGCAAUAUAUUUAGUAGAAAUAAAAUAAAACAAAAUAAAAACAACAAAAGG
rnacentral:lncRNA from 1 species